GUGAUUGAAAUAGGUUCCUUAAUUCACUUUUAACAUGAAAUUAAAAUAUUUUUGAAAUCGGUCAAAGGAGACCCGAGAAAAAAACUGAUUCAAAUGUUCUCCUCAGAUAGUCACUUAACAAAGUCUUUGGCAUUUGCCCAGUAGUGGGAGUGGUCAAAGUAGGUUCUUUUGCUUCACUCUUAACAUGAAAUUAAAAUAUUUUUGAAAUCGGUCCCUGGGGUCCGGGUGAAAAACCGGUUCAAAUAUUCUCCAUGAAGAGUCACUUUACAAGGCCUGAGCCAUUUGCCUAGUAGUGGGAGUGAUUGAAAUAGGUUCUUUACUUCACACAUGAAAUUAAAAUAUUUUUGAAAUCGGUCCCAGGGGUCCCGAGGAAAACCGGUUUAAAUGUUCCACAUGAACAGUCUGUUUACAAAGCCUAUGCCAUUUGCCCAGUAGUGGGAGUGGUUGGAAUAGGUUCUUUAAUUCACUCUUAACAAGAAAUCAAAAUAUUUUUGAAAUCGGUCCUAGGGGUCCUGAGAAAUUAAUCUGAUAAGACUUUUCUGCCAAAUAAGUCUUACUCAUAUGUACGUAUAUAGUCAAUCUCAAUGCUCAGGAUCUCGCUGUCAGGAUUCAGUACUGGAAAAUGUUGGAAUGGGUUAUUUUUUUUACUGUGAUUUUCAAAUAAAUUCUAAAAGCGUUGGAUUCUAAUAAGAACUGGGAA
rnacentral:lncRNA from 1 species